rnacentral:rRNA from 1 species
GACGAACGCUGGCGGCGUGCUUAACACAUGCAAGUCGAACGUGAUUUUUAAGGAAAGCCCUUCGGGGUGGGAAUUAAAAUGAAAGUGGCGAACGGGUGAGUAACACGUGAACAACCUACCUUACACAGGGGGAUAGCCGUUGGAAACGACGAUUAAUACCGCAGGAGACCACAGAAGCGCAUGAUAUAGUGGUCAAAGAUUUUUUGUUGUUAAGAUGGGCUCGCUUCUGAUUUGCUAGUUGGAAGGUGAAAGGUCUACCUUGGCUACGAUGUGUGGUCUGUCUGAGAGGAUGUACGGCCACAUUGUAACUGUGACGCGUUCCUGAUGUUCUUUUUUAAACAUGAAUUGUGGAUUUGGGUUUGAUGAUUGGUAUUUUUGAGUGUUGCUUUGUCGCGGUGUUGCUUUUGUGGUUUGAUUCGAGUUUUUGGCGAUUUUGUGGAUUAGGUGUGUGUGCAUGUGUAUGAGGUUUUGGGUGUUUUAGUAAUUUCCGUGUUGUAUUAC